AUCUAGAUAGUUUAAGUGUAAAAUGUUGGCUUGUGGUGCCGAUGAUGCAGCUGUGCUUUAGGUU
rnacentral:tRNA from 1 species